CAGACUUCGCCAGGAGCGGCCGUUUCGCGUUCCUGGGGCGUUAGGCGGUGCCCCUCAGCGUGAGACGGCGCCUGUUUUCGUGGUUUUGUUUGUGGAGCACAUCUAACCAUGAGUCUGAUGAGGAAUACCAAGAUGCAAAAACAGGGGAAGAAGAAGAAGAGGAAGAGGAAGAAGAAGAGGAAGAAGAAGAAGGAGAAGAAGAAGAAGAAGAAGAAGAAGA